rnacentral:lncRNA from 1 species
AAGAAGUCAGGCCGAUUUAAGCCAUAGUACGGUAAGAGCUAUGCUGCCUGUGAGCCCCGUCCAAGGACGUAAAAUGAAGUCAGGCCGAAAGCCACGGCUUGAGCAAACCGUGCUGCCUGUGGCUCCAUCGUGGGGAUGUAAAAACCCGGGAGGCUGCAACCCAUGGAAGCUGUACGCAUGGGGUAGCAGACUAGUGGUUAGCGGAGACCCCUCCCAAGAUACAACGCAGCAGCGGGGCCCAACACCAGGGGAAGCUGUACCCUGGUGGUAAGGACUAGAGGUUAGAGGAGACCCCCCGCACAACAAUAAACAGCAUAUUGAC